rnacentral:rRNA from 2 species
CACUAGUGAUUAGUUUGAUCAUGGCUCAGAUUGAACGCUGGCGGCAAGCUUAACACAUGCAAGUCGUGCGGCAUCGUGAAAUUUUUUUUUUAAAAUUUUGACGGCGAGCGGCGAACGGGUGAGUAAUAUCUGGGGAUCUACCUAAAUGAGGGGGAUAACCAUUGGAAACGGUGGCUAAUACCGCAUAAAGUUUUAGAACCAAAGUGGGGGACUUUUAAAAAGCCUCACGCAUUUAGAUGAACCCAGAUGAGAUUAGCUAGAUGGUAAGAUAAUAGCUUACCAUGGCGACGAUCUCUAGCUGGUCUGAGAGGAUGGCCAGCCACACUGGAACUGAGAUACGGUCCAGACUCUUACGGGAGGCAGCAGUGGGGAAUAUUGCACAAUGGGCGAAAGCCUGAUGCAGCUAUGCCGCGUGUAUGAAGAAGGCCUUCGGGUUGUAAAGUACUUUCAGUAGGGAAGAAAUUAUUUAGAUUAAUACUUUAAAUAAUUGACGUUACUUACAAAAGAAGCACCGGCUAACUCCGUGCCAGCAGCCGCGGUAAUACGGAGGGUGCGAGCGUUAAUCAGAAUUACUGGGCGUAAAGAGCUCGUAGGCGGUAUUUUAAGUCAGAUGUGAAAUCCCUGGGCUUAACCUAGGAACUGCAUUUGAAACUGAAAUACUAGAGUUUCGUAGAGGGAGGUAGAAUUCUAGGUGUAGCGGUGAAAUGCGUANAUAUCUGGAGGAAUACCAGUGGCGAAAGCGGCCUCCUGGACGAAAACUGACGCUGAGGUGCGAAAGCGUGGGGAGCAAACAGGAUUAGAUACCCUGGUAGUCCAUGCUGUAAACGAUGUCGACUUGGAGGUUGUUUCCUUAGAGAAGUGGCUUCCGAAGCUAACGCGUUAAGUCGACCGCCUGGGGAGUACGGCCGCAAGGCUAAAACUCAAAUGAAUUGACGGGGGCCCGCACAAGCGGUGGAGCAUGUGGUUUAAUUCGAUGCAACGCGAAAAACCUUACCUGGUCUUGACAUCCAUAAAAUUUUAUAGAAAUAUAGAAGUGCCUUCGGGAAUUAUGAGACAGGUGCUGCAUGGCUGUCGUCAGCUCGUGUUGUGAAAUGUUGGGUUAAGUCCCGCAACGAGCGCAACCCUUAUCUUUUGUUGCCAGCGGUUCGGCCGGGAACUCAGAAGAGACUGCCGGUUAUAAACCGGAGGAAGGUGGGGACGACGUCAAGUCAUCAUGGCCCUUACGACCAGGGCUACACACGUGCUACAAUGGUAUAUACAAAGAGAAGCAACUCUGCAAAGAUAAGCAAACCUCAUAAAGUAUAUCGUAGUCCGGACUGGAGUCUGCAACUCGACUCCACGAAGUCGGAAUCGCUAGUAAUCGUGGAUCAGAAUGCCACGGUGAAUACGUUCCCGGGCCUUGUACACACCGCCCGUCACACCAUGGGAGUGGGUUGCAAAAGAAGCAGGUAUCCUAACCGUUUUAUUGGAAGGCGCUUACCACUUUGUGAUUCAUGACUGGGGUGAAGUCGUAA